rnacentral:lncRNA from 1 species
UCACUUCAAAGAUAUUACCUAGGAGUCAAAUUCUCUGAAGGUGGUGAGAGGAAAGGUGAACAGAAAUGCUGCUUUGUGGAUAUCCUCAAGUCCUUGCACAAGGUGCCUUGUAGGAAAUACCAAAACUUGGUCAUAUUGCAGUGAGGCAGUGAGGGGUAUAUCAGCGUGUCUUCAAAAGCAAUGCUGUAAAGAGUGGUUUGGGCCUAAAGAACAUUUGGUUUGUGGAGAAAUGAAAAUCUGGCACAAAGAUGCCAUAUUUCUCAUAACAUGCAGGUAAUCUCUUGGGAUUUUGAAAUUGCGAAGUUUAUCUUUUCAGUCUGAGCUGCCAUUGUCUUACAGUAAGGAGUAAACUCCUUUUGCUGUCAGGACACCGUGUGGCAGGAGGAGUUCAGCCGUGCUUUUCAUCUGGGAUUGUUCAGUUAUCUGCUGCUGGAUACAGCUGCAUGUGUGCUUCUAUGCUCAUGUGACAAGCU